rnacentral:rRNA from 1 species
UACGGAGGGGGCUAGCGUUGUUCGGAAUUACUGGGCGUAAAGCGCACGUAGGCGGCUUUGCAAGUCAGAGGUGAAAGCCCGGGGCUCAACCCCGGAAUUGCCUUUGAGACUGCAUCGCUAGAAUUGUGGAGAGGUAAGUGGAAUUCCGAGUGUAGAGGUGAAAUUCGUAGAGAUGUGGAGGAACACCGAUGGCGAAGGCAGCCUCCUGGGCCAGCACUGACGCUCAUGCACGAAAGCGUGGGGAGCAAACAGG